GAAUAAUGAAGUAGAGAUUUAGUGUUCCUACGCACCCAAGAGGUAUAAGAGAUGACGGGAUAGACACACCGCCCAUUAUUC
rnacentral:ncRNA from 1 species